rnacentral:rRNA from 1 species
CCUACGGGCGGCAGCAGUGAGGAAUAUUGGUCAAUGGGCGUAAGCCUGAACCAGCCAAGUCGCGUGCGGGAUUAAGGCCCUACGGGUUGUACACUUCUUUUGCCGGGGAGCAAGAGCGUGGACGUGUCAUGUUCCGGAGAGUACCCGGAGAAAAAGCAUCGGCUAACUCCGUGCCAGCAGCCGCGGUAAUACGGAGGAUGCGAGCGUUAUCCGGAUUUAUUGGGUUUAAAGGGUGCGUAGGCGGACUUUUAAGUCAGCGGUAAAAAUUCGGGGCUCAACCCCGUCCGGCCGUUGAAACUGGGGGCCUUGAGUGGGCGAGAAGAAUGCGGAAUGCGUGGUGUAGCGGUGAAAUGCAUAGAUAUCACGCAGAACUCCGAUUGCGAAGGCAGCAUACCGGCGCCCUACUGACGCUGAAGCACGAAAGUGCGGGGAUCGAACAGGAUUAGAUACCCGUGUAGUC